GUGUUAACGAGCAAAUCCAGGUGAUUGGACCGGAGACAGCAGGCAUGUGGCAGAUGGUGCCGGCGAACGAAUCAGAUAGCAGAGGAUCCCAGCGGCACGGAGACCAGUGUGGAAUGGAACAGACCUGGAGAUCAGUGUUAGGAACAGUCCUGGAGAUCAGUGUUAGAAACAGUCCUGGAGAUCAGUGUUAGGAACAGUCCUAGGGAUCAGUGUUUGGAACAGACCUGGAGAUCAGUGUUUGGAACAGACAUGGAGAUCAGUGUUUGGAACAGACAUGUAAGAUCAGUGUUAAGAACAGUCCUGGAGAUCAGUGUUUGGAACAGACAUGGAGAUCAGUGUUAGGAACAGUCCUAGGGAUCAGUGUUUGGAACAGACAUGGAGAUCAGUGUUCGGAUGGUAUCAGGAACUCACCUCCCAGCCCAGAGUUACUAUAAAUCAGUGGUUAUCAAACUUGGUCCUGUGUAUGCUGGCUUUUGUUCCAAACACAACAUUUG